rnacentral:miRNA from 1 species
GUGUUACAUGUGUGUGCAUGUGCGUGUGCAUGCAUAUGUGUGUACGUGCAUGCGUGUGUGUACGUGCAUCCUUUGUGUGUGUGUGUGUGUGUGUGUCUGUCC